rfam:Brachypodium distachyon strain Bd21 chromosome 3, whole genome shotgun sequence.
CAUAUACUCCCUCCGUCCAAUAUUAAGCGUCGCAACAUUGUCUAGAUACACAUGUAUCUAAACGUGUUUUAGUAUGUAGGUACAUGCCUAUUUAGACAAAGUUGGGACACUUAAUAUGGGACAGAUGGAGUAUAAU